rnacentral:rRNA from 1 species
AUUGAACGCUGGCGGCAGGCCUAACACAUGCAAGUCGAACGGUAACAGGAAGACGCUUGCUUCUUUGCUGACGAGUGGCGGACGGGUGAGUAAUGUCUGGGAAACUGCCUGAUGGAGGGGGAUAACUACUGGAAACGGUAGCUAAUACCGCAUAACGUCGCAAGACCAAAAAGGGGGACCUUCGGGCCUCUUGCCAUCGGAUGUGCCCAGAUGGGAUUAGCUAGUAGGUGGGGUAACGGCUCACCUAGGCGACGAUCCCUAGCUGGUCUGAGAGGAUGACCAGCCACACUGGAACUGAGACACGGUCCAGACUCCUACGGGAGGCAGCAGUGGGGAAUAUUGCACAAUGGGCGCAAGCCUGAUGCAGCCAUGCCGCGUGUAUGAAGAAGGCCUUCGGGUUGUAAAGUACUUUCAGCGGGGAGGAAGGGAGUAAAGUUAAUACCUUUGCUCAUUGACGUUACCCGCAGAAGAAGCACCGGCUAACUCCGUG